ACUAUUAUGGCAGAAUAGUGCAUUGAAUUUAAGUUUCAAGUAUAUAAUAUUAUUGAUAGUU
rnacentral:tRNA from 1 species